UACGUAGGGUGCGAGCGUUGUCCGGAAUUAUUGGGCGUAAAGAGCUCGUAGGCGGCUUGUCGCGUCGACUGUGAAAUCCCGCGGCUCAACUGCGGGUCUGCAGUCGAUACGGGCAGGCUAGAGUUCGGUAGGGGAGACUGGAAUUCCUGGUGUAGCGGUGAAAUGUGCAGAUAUCAGGAGGAACACCGGUGGCGAAGGCGGGUCUCUGGGCCGAUACUGACGCUGAGGAGCGAAAGCUAGGGUAGCAAACGGG
rnacentral:rRNA from 1 species